rnacentral:rRNA from 1 species
GAACACGGAGCUUGCUCUGUGGGAUCAGUGGCGAACGGGUGAGUAACACGUGAGCAACCUGCCCCUGACUCUGGGAUAAGCGCUGGAAACGGCGUCUAAUACUGGAUACGAGUAGCGACCGCAUGGUCAGUUACUGGAAAGAUUUAUUGGUUGGGGAUGGGCUCGCGGCCUAUCAGCUUGUUGGUGAGGUAAUGGCUCACCAAGGCGUCGACGGGUAGCCGGCCUGAGAGGGUGACCGGCCACACUGGGACUGAGACACGGCCCAGACUCCUACGGGAGGCAGCAGUGGGGAAUAUUGCACAAUGGGCGCAAGCCUGAUGCAGCAACGCCGCGUGAGGGAUGACGGCCUUCGGGUUGUAAACCUCUUUUAGCAGGGAAGAAGCGAAAGUGACGGUACCUGCAGAAAAAGCGCCGGCUAACUACGUGCCAGCAGCCGCGGUAAUACGUAGGGCGCAAGCGUUAUCCGGAAUUAUUGGGCGUAAAGAGCUCGUAGGCGGUUUGUCGCGUCUGCUGUGAAAUCCGGAGGCUCAACCUCCGGCCUGCAGUGGGUACGGGCAGACUAGAGUGCGGUAGGGGAGAUUGGAAUUCCUGGUGUAGCGGUGGAAUGCGCAGAUAUCAGGAGGAACACCGAUGGCGAAGGCAGAUCUCUGGGCCGUAACUGACGCUGAGGAGCGAAAGGGUGGGGAGCAAACAGGCUUAGAUACCCUGGGNAGNCCACCCCCGUAAACGUUGGGGAACU